rnacentral:rRNA from 1 species
AUUGAACGCUGGCGGCAUGCCUUACACAUGCAAGUCGAACGGCAGCACGGGAGCAAUCCUGGUGGCGAGUGGCGAACAGGUGAGUAAUAUAUCGGAACGUGCCCAGUAGUGGGGGAUAACUGCUCGAAAGAGCAGCUAAUACCGCAUACGACCUGAGGGUGAAAGGGGGGGAUCGCAAGACCUCUCGCUAUUGGAGCGGCCGAUAUCAGAUUAGCUAGUUGGUGGGGUAAAGGCCUACCAAGGCAACGAUCUGUAGUUGGUCUGAGAGGACGACCAGCCACACUGGGACUGAGACACGGCCCAGACUCCUACGGGAGGCAGCAGUGGGGAAUAUUGGACAAUGGGGGGCAACCCUGAUCCAGCAAUGCCGCGUGAGUGAAGAAGGCCUUCGGUGUAAGCUCUUUGUCAGGAGAAACGGUGAGUUCUAAUAAAGCUUGCUAAUGACGGUACCUGAAGAAUAAGCACCGGCUAACUACGUGCCAGCAGCCGCGGUAA